ACGCUGGCGGCAGGCCUAACACAUGCAAGUCGAGCGGUAGAGAGAAGCUUGCUUCUCUUGAGAGCGGCGGACGGGUGAGUAAUGCCUAGGAAUCUGCCUGGUAGUGGGGGAUAACGUUCGGAAACGGACGCUAAUACCGCAUACGUCCUACGGGAGAAAGCAGGGGACCUUCGGGCCUUGCGCUAUCAGAUGAGCCUAGGUCGGAUUAGCUAGUUGGUGGGGUAAUGGCUCACCAAGGCGACGAUCCGUAACUGGUCUGAGAGGAUGAUCAGUCACACUGGAACUGAGACACGGUCCAGACUCCUACGGGAGGCAGCAGUGGGGAAUAUUGGACAAUGGGCGAAAGCCUGAUCCAGCCAUGCCGCGUGUGUGAAGAAGGUCUUCGGAUUGUAAAGCACUUUAAGUUGGGAGGAAGGGUUGUAGAUUAAUACUCUGCAAUUUUGACGUUACCGACAGAAUAAGCACCGGCUAACUCUGUGCCAGCAGCCGCGGUAAUACAGAGGGUGCAAGCGUUAAUCGGAAUUACUGGGCGUAAAGCGCGCGUAGGUGGUUAGUUAAGUUGGAUGUGAAAUCCCCGGGCUCAACCUGGGAACUGCGUUCAAAACUGACUGACUAGAGUAUGGUAGAGGGUGGUGGAAUUUCCUGUGUAGCGGUGAAAUGCGUAGAUAUAGGAAGGAACACCAGUGGCGAAGGCGACCACCUGGACUGAUACUGACACUGAGGUGCGAAAGCGUGGGGAGCAAAC
rnacentral:rRNA from 1 species